rnacentral:lncRNA from 1 species
AUGCUCCAGAAGCUCUUUGGUCAGGCCAGAAAGCAUUUGAGUUCGACAUCUCUGUAUUUGUAUCUAUUUGAGCAGGAGGCACUAGAGCAGGGCUGCAUGUCUUGCAUCUGACACUGUUUAACCCAAAAGUUAGUUGGGACAGAAAGAAUACCUCAGAAUCCUGGAAUAAACGGGGUCCCGAUGAUCAAUACGAGUUCUACUCAGCGAAUGCAGAUUACAGCAAACGGAAGAAAGAAUGUCCAGACUUC